rnacentral:tRNA from 1 species
GGUUCCGUAGCUCAGCUGGAUAGAGCAACUGCCUUCUAAGCAGUAGGUCAUUGGUUCGAAUCCAAUCGGAAUCACGA